UGGGGAAUUUUGCACAAUGGGCGGAAGCCUGAUGCAGCGACGCCGUGUGGGGGAUGAAGGCCUUCGGGUUGUAAACUCCUUUCGUCAGGGACGAAGUUUGUUUGACGGUACCUGGAUAAGAAGCACCGGCUAACUACGUGCCAGCAGCCGCGGUAAUACGUAGGGUGCGAGCGUUGUCCGGAUUUACUGGGCGUAAAGGGCUCGUAGGUGGUGUGUUGCGUCGUCUGUGUAAUCCAGGGGCUUAACUUUUGGUUGGCAGGCGAUACGGGCAUUGCUUGAGUGCUGUAGGGGAGACUGGAAUUCCUGGUGUAGCGGUGAAAUGCACAGAUAUCAGGAGGAACACCGAUGGCGAAGGCAGGUCUCUGGGCAGUUACUGACGCUGAGGAGCGAGAGAAUGGGUAGCGAACAGG
rnacentral:rRNA from 1 species